AGAGUUUGAUCCUGGCUCAGGAUGAACGCUAGCUACAGGCUUAACACAUGCAAGUCGAGGGGAAACGACAUCGAAAGCUUGCUUUUGAUGGGCGUCGACCGGCGCACGGGUGAGUAACGCGUAUCCAACCUGCCCACCACUUGGGGAUAACCUUGCGAAAGUAAGACUAAUACCCAAUGACGUCUCUAGAAGACAUCUGAAAGAGAUUAAAGAUUUAUCGGUGAUGGAUGGGGAUGCGUCUGAUUAGCUUGGUUGGCGGGGUAACGCCACCAAGGCUACGAUCGAGGUAGGGGUUCUGAGAGGAACGGUCCCCCANAUUGGAACUGAGACACGGUCCAAACUCCGUACGGGAGGCA
rnacentral:rRNA from 1 species